rnacentral:rRNA from 1 species
CAAAACUAGCGGAUGAGCUGUGAAUAGGGGUGAAAGGCUAAACAAACCUGGAGAUAGCUGGUUCUCUCCGAAAACUAUUUAGGUAGUGCCUCAGGUAUUACCAUCGGGGGUAGAGCACUGUUAUGGCUAGGGGUCAUGGCGACUUACCAAACCAUUGCAAACUCCGAAUACCGAUGAGUACAGCUUGGGAGACAGAGCACCGGGUGCUAACGUCCGGACUCAAGAGGGAAACAACCCAGACCGCCAGCUAAGGUCCCUAAAAUUGGCUAAGUGGGAAACGAAGUGGGAAGGCUAAAACAGUCAGGAUGUUGGCUUAGAAGCAGCCAUCAUUUAAAGAAAGCGUAAUAGCUCACUGAUCGAGUCGUCCUGCGCGGAAGAUGUAACGGGGCUAAGCCAGUUACCGAAGCUGCGGAUUUGCGCGCGAGCGCAAGUGGUAGGAGAGCGUUCUGUACGCCUGCGAAGGUGGAUUGUGAAAUCUGCUGGAGGUAUCAGAAGUGCGAAUGCUGACAUG